UACGGGGGGGGCAAGCGUUGUUCGGAAUUACUGGGUGUAAAGGGUUCGUAGGCGGUGUGGCAAGUCGGGAGUGAAAUCUCUGGGCUCAACCCAGAGUCUGCUUCCGAAACUGCUGUGCUUGAGUGUGGGAGAGGCGCGUGGAAUUGCAGGUGUAGCGGUGAAAUGCGUAGAUAUCUGCAGGAACACCCGUGGCGAAAGCGGCGCGCUGGACCACUACUGACGCUGAGGAACGAAAGCUAGGGGAGCAAACAGG
rnacentral:rRNA from 1 species